rnacentral:lncRNA from 1 species
GGGACGAUAAGGCCUUUCGAGUCUCUUGGAAGAACGAUAUCGGGCAUUACCGAUUAUAUUACUUGAACGAUCUGGUACACUUGCCAAUGAGUCAACAAGCUCCUAAUGUUCGCUGCUCGGUGAGGAACGUUCUCCAUCAACUCUCACUCGAGUCCUUCCGACCUACAUAACGUUCUAAGUGAACUCUAGCUUUCGACGCUCG